rnacentral:rRNA from 1 species
UUCACGGAGAGUUUGAUCCUGGCUCAGGACGAACGCUGGCGGCGUGCUUAACACAUGCAAGUCGAACGGUGAAGCCCUUCGGGGUGGAUC